CUCCUGCUUCUGCAGCAGGCAUUCAGGCAGCGAGAGAAGGAGAGGCUGGAGAGGCAGAGCUUGAGGAAGCGGCAGAUAAGUUUAUUUUUUAACUUAAAAAGGAUCUUAUAACUAGGAGAUUUACUGGUUAGCCUAACGAAGAUUCUGCUUAGAAUUUUAAAGUAAUUUUAAUAGCUUUUAGAAGUAAAUAGGCUUAAAGUAGCUUGAGAAAGAGCAUAAACGUUUUGUUUGAAGAUGAAGCUUCUUUACGGAGUAAGAGCAAGGUUAAGUCUAAAAAUUAAGCCUCCGAAGCCUUUCGAUUUAGCCUUUAGUGAAAGGUAUAGCCUUAUAGACUAAUGUUCAACAUGAUUAAAAAGCCUAAACGUUUUUAAAAAGUAGGGCUGUAGGUGAUUAAAAUUAGAAGACGAUGGCUUAAGGUUAAAUGGAGGUGGUUAAAGUGAAGGACAUGACGCAAGAAAGAUCGCGUCGUGAAGUAUUUUAUAAAUACCGAAAAUAAGUAUUGGGGAUGGUAGGUUAAAUUUGAAGACUAGAAAUUUGAAGUGGAAAACUUAAGAAAUACAGGAAGGUGAAGAAAAGACAGAAGAUAGGAAAACUAGAAGAAUUUUGCCUUUGGAAGACAUGUUAAUUUAAGCUACAAGAUAGGCAGAAGAAACUUAGAAGAUAAUACGAAAAAUUUUGAAGGAAAGGUAUUGGAGCAACAAAAGGGCAAAGUAUUCAAACUUAGAAGAAAACUAGAAGAACAAGAUAGGAAACGGAGAAUAUUGUCAAGGAAAGGUAUUUAAGGCAGAAAAUGGAAAAACGAGCUAGAAUUGGACAAGAAAGAAGAUAGAGAAGUCGAAGUCAGAAAUACUGGAUAAAAUUAAUUAUUGUAGUCUUUUUUUAAAAAAAAGCCCAUCAAUUUUAACUUAAUGGUGGUGCAGAGGUUAAAAACGUUAAAAAAAAUUGGUGUUUAGAUCAGAGGCAAUUCUGAAGAUUAUUUGAAGCUAGUAGAGAAAUCAGUUAAAAUCGCAUGAAAAAGCAGCUGAAAGGAGUGGAGUCAUGUGAAGGCUGAGGCAGGAUGCUUUUGGAAGAGUUAGAAGAAUAAAAGGUUUCAAGUCCAGUAGCAUAGUUCACUUUGAAAAAUUUGAAGGACUUUGAAUUCAAGAUCAAGAAUGUCGCGUGGGACUUUGCGCUAAUACUUAAAAAAGAUCUUAAGGACUAGUAUUAAAUGGCAGCUGACCCAGGUGCUACGGAGAAGUGGAUUGAGAAUCUAGGAAGACAGCAGACAGGCAUCCAGGAGCCAGUGUUGGUGAAGCUAGGACUGAGGAGCCCGCGGCAGCUCGUGGUGAAGAUAGGAAGGAGUCCAGGAAGCAGUGCGGUUUGGUGGAGGAAGGCGCCCCUAACGUUGGUUGGUGAAGCUAGGAGAGGAGUCGAGGAAGGAGAUUCGAGUGCGGUUGUGCGAAGCUAGCGCCUUGGCUUGUCAACUACCGGAGGCGGCGAGCGGCGCGGUGAUAGAUAGCGGCCUCCUAGCCCAGCAUGGCAGUGUGCAGAGCUGCAGGGAGAGCGAGCGAGCGAGUGGUGUGGUCAAACCCGGUCGGCUGUGUGGUCCUUUCCUGUAACUUGUGUAUGGUAACUUUUUACUUUGUUUUCCUAAUGGUAUUGGGGGUGUUGCGUACUUUGUCAAGUGAUUCAUACGGGUGUAGGCCGAUUCCGGGUGUUGUAGGUUUUUCUUUUUCAGGCUUAACGUUCUGUCUGCGUCUUGUCUGAAGCAUUUGAGGGCAGACUGCCAAGGCACGGAGGAAUGGUAGAUGGCAAGUUUUUUAAAAACUUACUUGAGAGAAAACAUGAGUUUUAUAGAGCCUGCAGACAAUUUUAAGUAAAUCUGUAAGGACUUCGAUUUUAGUUGGAGUAAUGAAGUGUGUGUUUGGUGAAUAGAGUUUUUCCUCACCCUGAAUUAAUAGUUUUAUGAAUGUGGAGUCUGGGUGUUGUAACGGGGAGGGAGUUUUUUUGGGUGGGGUUGGGGCAAAACGUGUUUUGAGUUCUUUUCCUCUUAGGUCUGUCUAGAAUCCUAAAGGCAAAUGACUCAAGGUAACAGAAAAAAAGGAAAAUCCAGUAUCAGGAUAAUCAGAAAACCGCAGGUUUACAGUUUCUAGAGAACGCUAGAGCACCAGUAGCACUCACAGUUUGAGUCUGGAGGAGCUGUCCAUUGGAGAAUUGGCUGGUAGUUUCACUUUUUUCUUAAACCCCUUUAUCAGACUUCUAAAGCACUUUUAACUCUUGAACUGUUUCUACUCAGUAUUUGGGAAUGGUCUUAACAGGGAAGAGAGGGUGGGGGAGGAAAUCUUUUUUUUCUAAGAUUUUCCACAGAUGCUAUAGUACUAUUGACACACUGGGUUAGAGAAGGCGUGUACUGCUAUGCUGUUGGCACGAGCACCUGCAGGGAUUGGAGCUGCUUUUAUCCUUGGAAGAGUUUUUCCAGUUGAAGCUGAACAGUACAGCACAGUGCAGCUUUGAUUCAUACUCAGUCAACUCAGGAGAACUUCAGAAGAGCUUGGCUAGGCCAAAUGUUGAAGUUAAGUUUUCAAAUUUGGUUCACAAUACCAAAAGGGGAGGGGUAAGUUUUGGCAAAAAUUUAGUUGGCAGCUUGUUGUGGUUGGGAUGGGGGGGUUUAGGUAAUUGUUUAGUUUAUGAUUUCAGAUAAUUCCUUCCAGAGAAGUUAAAUACUUAGGAUGGAAAAACUAAAGAAAUCUCAACAUUCAAGUUGGCAAGUAACUUACAAUCUUGUAGUUUUUUGUUUCUUCCAAUCUUUGAAUUGGGCAUCGGGGAAAGAUUUCACUAGGUGUAUCACCAGUGCUUUAAUUCGGGCAAGGAGGCUCAACCGUAAUACGGUUCUUCCCCCGCCAAAUACAUAGAUGAGGCAUGAGGCGUGGGGAAGGAAAUUUUUGGACUGGGGUUGGUCUGGCCCACCCGAGUGACACUGAGUAGUUUACAGUCUUGGGAAAGUUUUAAAAACCAAGUUUUGGAUACAGAUGGUAGUGUUUGGUUCUCUUUUGGAAUUUUUUUCAGGUGAUUUAAUAUAACUUAAUACUACUGUAGGAACUUCAGAGCAAAGGAGGUGACUUAAUGACCCUGAAGGGAUUUCUUCUGAUGGUAGCUUUUAUAUUAUCAAACUUUUUUCAGAUAACAUCUGAGUCAUAACGAGCCUGGCAGUAUGACGAUGACGUAGUAUGCAGAGGGACAGCUCCUUGGUGAAUGAUAAGUAAAGGCAGAAAACAUUAUGUCAUGCCUCCACUGGGGAAUAAGAUAACCCUGAGAUCCUUACUACUGAUGAAAACAUUGGCUGCACAUGCAAAAAAAUUUAAACAAAAGAAUGAAAAUUUAAAAGUUACGGAAUCUACCAUUUUAAAGUUAAUGGUUUAUCAAGCUAUACCCACAAAAAUAAGAAAUUGAUGAACAACGAAGAGCACAUGUCCACCUCAAACCCUGCUUUUACAAAAGCAGAAUAAAGUGAAAUGAAACGAAAAUGAUUAUAUACUACAUUAAUCCUGGAGUAAAAGAAGCUGAAAUAAUUGAGUUGGGAUCAAGUGGAUUGAAAGAGGCUGUGCUGUGUGCCAAUCUUUCGUUUGCCUCAGACAGGUUCUCUUAUCAGAAGAGUUGCUUCAUUUCAUCUGGGAGCAGAAAACAGCAGGCAGCUGUUGACAGAUAAGUUUUAUCUUGCAUCGCAAUUUUGCAUGUUAGGGAUAAGUGCUUAAUUAUGAAUUGUGGAGAUUAUCAAACGUGGCACGUUUUCCUGACCCCAUCCUCGGGGAAUUUCAGGAUUGUGAGGAAUUUUUCCAUCCAUUUAAAAAAUACUUAGGAUGGUCUAGCCUUGUGCCAGUGGCCUUCCAUGUGAUGGGAUAUUACACCUCACUCAAGGCAUUUAUGUCUUGAAUUAAAAGCCUCUUCAAGUGACAAGUGCCUUAAUCACAAUGCUUAUGAAACAAAGGAAUUUUUGAUCAUUAAUCUCUGAAGACCCUAUGAAAGGGAUACCAUAAUGUGCUGUUAAGGUCAGAUGUGUUAAUUUUCCUUAAAAAAAUUGUUGCAAUGUAUUGUGCAUAAACUAUUAAAUCAUACAAGUUAAUAAAAUAUUACUAGACAAUGUAUGUUUUUAGAAAAGCUGUCUCCUUAUUUAAAUAAAAUGUUGUUUGUCUGUAGUUAGUGUUGGGGCAAUCUUGGGGGGUAUUCUUCUCUAAUCUUUCAGAAACUUUGUCUUCGAACACUUAAAUGGACAAGAGCAGGAAUUGAGCAGAAGACCGAAUUUAACUAACUUAAGGCAGGAAAGACAUUUUAUUCUUCAUAAAAUGAUGAUCAUUUAAAAUCCCAGACAUGGCAAUAGAGGCCCUCUUAAUAAGGAAUAAAUACUUCUUAGACAGGUGGGAGCUAAUGAGAGUAAAAGGUAACUCUUUUGUUUCCAGAAAGUCAGGAGUCAAUAUGACAGUGGCUAGAGUAAUAAUUUUCCCCAUUUCCAAAGUUUGCAUGUUAAAAGUGCUUUAACCAUCUCAUCAGGUGUUAAAGUGUAUCACACUGUGCAGCCAGGCAUCUGGGAAAGGGGGCAUGUGGGUGUUUUGAGAAUUUUCCUUUGCAGAGGCUUCAUUUCAUCCUUCAUGGAGCUGUUCAGGAUUUUGACUUGCAUAUGCCUGCUUGGCUCUGCUCUGCCUUCUGUUCUCCUAGUGAGUGUGAGAUCUUCCAGUGAGUUUAUCAGCGUACUCGAAACUUCUCCUGGAAUUGGAAGGGAAGGGAGGAGGGGACGGGGCUUACUUGUUUUAGUUUUUUUUACAGACUACAGAGAACGCAGUUGUCUUGACCUCAGGUCUGUCUGUCCUUUUGGCAAGUAAUAAAAACGCAGUACUGUUCUGAUCGCUGCUAUUAGAAUGCAUUAUGAAGCGACUGGAGUGUGAUCAAAAGUUGUGUCCCCCAAUGUCUGGAGUAGUGAUUGUUGAAAGGAAAAAUCCAUGAGUGGAGUGAUAACAGGCUGAGUGUUGAGGACAUUUCUGCAGCUUUUAAGUAACCUGUGUUUGUGAUGAAAGCCAAGUACCUUUUGCUGUUUUAGGUAAAAUGCUUUUUUUGUUAAUUUCUGGUAGGGGGGGUGGGGGGGGAACUGAAGCCUUUAGUCUUUUCCAGAUUCAACCUUUAAAGUCAGUGACAAGAAAUAAAUUCAGACAAGCAGCAGUCAUCAAGAACUGUACCUGGCAAGUGGAAAAAUACUUUUAACAGCUCAGUGGUCUUUCAGUGCAUUGUCUUGUGGGUUUUUCUCUUCCCCUCCCUUGGUCUCAAUUCUUACAUACAGGAACAUGAGAGAACAGCAACACGUAUUCGAAGGGCCAGAGAAGCCAGACCCAGUAAGGAAAAAAAUAGCCUAUUAAUUUUAAAUAAAAAACAACCAAAUAUUCCAGUUUAAAUGUGGGGAUUGGGAACCAAUAGUUCUUUCAGAUGGUACUCUGCAGACUAGAAGGAGCUUCCAGUUGAAUUCACCAGUGGACAAAAUGAGGACAACAGGUGAACAAGCUUUUUAUAUACUUACAAAGGCAGCUCAGUUACGAUGAAUCAGUGUGGAAAAGGCUUCAGCUUUAUGCUGGAGUAAUUAGCAUGUGAGCAAGUUGUGUAUUGGCCUGGGGGUGGAGGGGUGAGGUGGGCGCUAAGCCUCUUUUUAAGAUUUUUCAGGUACCCCUCACUAAAGGCACCGAAGGCUCAAAGUAGGACAUCCGGAGCCUUCCUGUGGCAAGAGACAGCUCUAAGGUCAAUGAGUCGUGUCAGCCUCAUAAUCCGGUCUUUAUUAGCAGUGAGGACUCGGCUCAGCGCCUUUCUGGAGUGAAGAAGGCUUAAGUAUCCAUGGGCUCACUGUAACAUGUAAAGCUGUUUUUAUAGCAGCUUUUAACAAAGCCCAGUCUCAAGUGAUGCUUGAAGGGGAGGGAAAGUGGGAAAGCGGGCAACCUGUUUUCCCUAGCUUUUCCAGAAGCCUGUUAAAAGCAAGGUCUCCCCACAAGCAACUUCUCUGCCACAUCGCCACCCCCUGCCUUUGGCCUAGCACUGACCUUUCACUCCUCACCUUGGUGCAGCCAGUAGCUUGGAUCCUUGUGGGCCUGGUGCAUUAUCUCUCAAGGUAACCGUGGUGCUGAGGUCCCGUGGGUUGCACUAUUAGAAGAGGCCACUGGUUUGCGUGUAAAUUAACAGACGAUUAAAACCACAACUAAAUAGCUCUAAGGUGUUUCAUGUAUGCACUUAUCCAGUGACUAAAACCAUCUUAAGCCAGUAAAACAGAUAACAUGUUUAAAAAUUGUAAUGCUGGGUGGGAACGUGUGACUGGUCAGCUGAGUGAGACAGGUUUGUAGUGGUGGCGAGGGCUGCUGGGUGGGAUUGCAAAAAUUCUCUGCUAAGACUUUUUCAGGUGAACGUUACAAAGCCUUGGCCAAGCUUAGCAUCUUAGCGGAAGCAGAUUCUCCAGUGCAGUGCUCUUCAGUAGGGUUGUAAAGGUUUUUCUUUUCCUGAGAAAACAAAAGCAUUUUGUUUUCUCAGGUUUUGCUUUUUGGCCUUUUCUAGCUUAAAAAAAAAAAAAGCAAAAGAUGCUGGUGGUUGGCACUCCUGGUUUCCAGGACGGGGUUCAAAUCCCUGCGGCGUCUUUGCUUGACCCAGUCUCUUCAGAACCUUGCCUGCUUCCUGGGAGGGUGCUGCUGAGCUUCAGAAGCAAGUGUUGGGGGUUACAGUAGUAUCUUUGGACUAUGUGGUGGUGGGGGUGGACCUGUUGCAGCUCUUGGAGGUUUAUAUGUAUUUAUGUGAACAUCUGACAGCUGUCCUGCCUUCGUGUAAUUCAUCAUGCAUCUGGUAUUUGGAGAAAUUUUAUCAAAACUUUGUGAAAUAAAAAAUUAAAAAGUUC